UGCAGCUGCAACUCGAGUGCAUGAAGCUGGAAUCGCUAGUAAUCGCGGAUCAGAAUGCCGCGGUGAAUACGUUCCCGGGUCUUGUACACACCGCCCGUCACACCAUGGGAGUCGGGAAUGCCCGAAGCCGGUGGCCCAAUCUUUAAGAAGGGAGCCGUCGAAGGCAGGCCCGGAUGACUGGGGUGAAGUCGUAACAAGGUAUC
rnacentral:rRNA from 1 species